rnacentral:ncRNA from 1 species
AUUCCCUCAGGAAAGCUGGCACUCGAGGUUCAGUCUCAUCCGGUAAAGUGAAUGAUUAGAGGCCUUGAGGCCGAAACAACCUGAACCUGUUUUCAAACUAAACUUUAAAUGGGUAAGAAGUCUGGCUUGCAUGAUUGAAGGGCGAACAAUUGGAUAAGAGUGCCC